rnacentral:rRNA from 1 species
AGUGAACGCUGGCGGCAGGCCUAACACAUGCAAGUCGAACGGCAGCACAGUAAGAGCUUGCUCUUACGGGUGGCGAGUGGCGGACGGGUGAGGAAUACAUCGGAAUCUACUUUUUCGUGGGGGAUAACGUAGGGAAACUUACGCUAAUACCGCAUACGACCUACGGGUGAAAGCAGGGGAUCUUCGGACCUUGCGCGAUUGAAUGAGCCGAUGUCGGAUUAGCUAGUUGGCGGGGUAAAGGCCCACCAAGGCGACGAUCCGUAGCUGGUCUGAGAGGAUGAUCAGCCACACUGGAACUGAGACACGGUCCAGACUCCUACGGGAGGCAGCAGUGGGGAAUAUUGGACAAUGGGCGCAAGCCUGAUCCAGCCAUACCGCGUGGGUGAAGAAGGCCUUCGGGUUGUAAAGCCCUUUUGUUGGGAAAGAAAAGCAGCAGGUUAAUACCCCGCUGUUCUGACGGUACCCAAAGAAUAAGCACGGGCUAACUUCGUG